rnacentral:rRNA from 1 species
GACCGGAGGUAGGACCGGUCCUUGGAGACGAUGAUCCGAUCACACCUGGACUGAGACACCGUCCAGACUCUACCGGAAGGCAGCAGUGGGGAAUUAUGCACAAUGGGCGCAAGCCUGAUGCAGCGACGCCGCGUGAGGGGAUGACGGGCUUCGGGUUGUAACCUCUUUCAGUAGGGAAGAAGCGAGAGUGACGGUACCUUGCAGAAGAAGCACCGGCUAACUACGUGCCAGCAGCCGCGGUAAUACGUAGGGUGCGAGCGUUAUCCGGAAUUAUUGGGCGUAAAGAGCUCGUAGGCGGUUUGUCGCGUCUGUCGUGAAAGUCCGGGGCUUAACCCCCGGAUCUGCGGUGGGUACGGGCAGACUAGAGUGCAGUAGGGGAGACUGGAAUUUCCUGGUGUAGCGGUGGAAUGCGCAGAUAUCAGGAGGAACACCGAUGGCGAAGGCAGGUCUCUGGGCUGUAACUGACGCUGAGGAGCGAAAGCAUGGGGAGCGAACAGGAUUAGAUACCCUGGUAGUCCAUGCCGUAAACGUUGGGCACUAGGUGUGGGGACCAUUCCACGGUUUCCGCGCCGCAGCUAACGCAUUAAGUGCCCCGCCUGGGGAGUACGGCCGCAAGGCUAAAACUCAAAGGAAUUGACGGGGGCCCGCACAAGCGGCGGAGCAUGCGGAUUAAUUCGAUGCAACGCGAAGAACCUUACCAAGGCUUGACAUGUUCUCGAUCGCCGUAGAGAUACGGUUUCCCCUUUGGGGCGGGUUCACAGGUGGUGCAUGGUUGUCGUCAGCUCGUGUCGUGAGAUGUUGGGUUAAGUCCCGCAACGAGCGCAACCCUCGUUCCAUGUUGCCAGCACGUAGUGGUGGGGACUCAUGGGAGACUGCCGGGGUCAACUCGGAGGAAGGUGAGGACGACGUCAAAUCAUCAUGCCCCUUAUGUCUUGGGCUUCACGCAUGCUACAAUGGCCGGUACAAUGGGUUGCGAUACUGUGAGGUGGAGCUAAUCCCAAAAAGCCGGUCUCAGUUCGGAUUGGGGUCUGCAACUCGACCCCAUGAAGUCGGAGUCGCUAGUAAUCGCAGAUCAGCAACGCUGCGGUGAAUACGUUCCCGGGCCUUGUACACACCGCCCGUCAAGUCACGAAAGUCGGUAACACCCGAAGCCGGUGGCCUAACCCUUGUGGGGGAGCCCUCGAAUGGGUCCCCGGUG